rnacentral:rRNA from 1 species
AUUGAACGCUGGCGGCAGGCUUAACACAUGCAAGUCGAGCGGGGUGAUGGUGCUUGCACUAUCACUUAGCGGCGGACGGGUGAGUAAUGCUUAGGAAUCUGCCUAUUAGUGGGGGACAACAUCUCGAAAGGGAUGCUAAUACCGCAUACGUCCUACGGGAGAAAGCAGGGGAUCACUUGUGACCUUGCGCUAAUAGAUGAGCCUAAGUCGGAUUAGCUAGUUGGUGGGGUAAAGGCCUGCCAAGGCGACGAUCUGUAGCGGGUCUGAGAGGAUGAUCCGCCACACUGGGACAGAGACACGGCCCAGACGCCUACGGGAGGCAGCGGUGGGGAAUAUUGGACAAUGGGUGGAACCCUGAUCCAGCCAUGCCGCGUGUGUGAAGAAGGCCUUAUGGUUGUAAAGCACUUGAAGCGAGGAGGAGGCUCUUUUGGUUAAUACCCAAGAUGAGUGGACGUUACUCGCAGAAUAAGCACCGGCUAACUCUGUGCCAGCAGCCGCCGUAA